rnacentral:rRNA from 1 species
GCAGGGUUAGCCGGCCCCUAAGGCGAGGGCGAAAGCCGUAGUCGAUGGGAACCACGUUAAUAUUCGUGGGCCUGGAGGUAGUGACGGAUCGCACAAGUUGUCCAAUCUUAUCGGAUUGAACGGGCAGCGGAGCGGUUCCAGGAAAUAGCUCCUCCUUAUAGACCGUACCCGAAACCGACACUGGUGGUCAGGUAGAGUAUACCAAGGCGCUUGAGAGAACUAUGUUGAAGGAACUCGGCAAUUUACCUCCGUAACUUCGGGAUAAGGAGGCCCAUUGCUCGCGCAAGCGGGCAGUGGGGGCACAGACCAGGGGGUGGCAACUGUUUAACAAAAACACAGGGCUCUGCGAAAUCGCAAGAUGACGUAUAGGGUCUGACGCCUGCCCGGUGCCGGAAGGUUAAGAGGAGAGGUGCAAGCCUUGAAUCGAAGCCCCGGUAAACGGCGGCCGUAACAAUAACGGUCCUAAGGUAGCGAAAUUCCUUGUCGGGUAAGUUCCGACCUGCACGAAUGGCGUAACGAUGGCCACACUGUCUCCUCCAGAGACUCAGCGAAGUUGAAAUGUUUGUGAUGAUGCAAUCUCCCCGCGGAAAGACGGAAAGACCCCAUGAACCUUUACUGUAGCUUUACAUUGGACUUUGAACAGAUCUGUGUAGGAUAGGUGGGAGGCUUUGAAGUAAGGUCGCUAGAUCUUAUGGAGCCGACGUUGAAAUACCACCCUGGUGUGUUUGAGGUUCUAACCUUGGCCCGUUAUCCGGGUUGGGGACAGUGUAUGGUGGGCAGUUUGACUGGGGCGGUCUCCUCCCAAAGUGUAACGGAGGAGUUCGAAGGUACGCUAGGCACGGUCGGAAAUCGUGCUGAUAGUGCAUUGGCAUAAGCGUGCUUGACUGCGAGACUGACAAGUCGAGCAGGUACGAAAGUAGGACAAAGUGAUCCGGUGGUUCUGUAUGGAAGGGCCAUCGCUCAACGGAUAAAAGGUACUCCGGGGAUAACAGGCUGAUACCGCCCAAGAGUUCAUAUCGACGGCGGUGUUUGGCACCUCGAUGUCGGCUCAUCUCAUCCUGGGGCUGUAGCCGGUCCCAAGGGUAUGGCUGUUCGCCAUUUAAAGAGGUACGUGAGCUGGGUUUAAAACGUCGUGAGACAGUUUGGUCCCUAUCUUCCGUGGGCGCUGCAAGAUUGAGAGAGCCUGCUCCUAGUACGAGAGGACCGGAGUGGACGCACCUCUGGUGUAUCGGUUGUCACGCCAGUGGCAUUGCCGAGUAGCUAAGUGCGGAAGAGAUAACCGCUGAAAGCAUCUAAGCGGGAAACUCGUCUCAAGAUGAGUCUUGCCGGGGCCUUGAGCCCCCUGAAGGGUCGUUCGAGACCAGGACGUUGAUAGGCUGGGUGUGGAAGCGCAGUAAUGCGUUAA